rnacentral:rRNA from 1 species
UGGGGAAUUUUGGGCAAUGGGCGCAAGCCUGACCCAGCAACGCCGCGUGGAGGAUGAAGGUUUUCGGAUCGUAAACUCCUGUCCAGAGGGACGAAGCAAGUGACGGUACCUCUGGAGGAAGCCCCGGCUAACUCCGUGCCAGCAGCCGCGGUAAUACGGGGGGGGCCAGCGUUGUUCGGAAUUACUGGGCGUAAAGGGCGCGUAGGCGGCUUCGGAAGUCAUGGGUGAAAGCCCCGGGCUCAACUCGGGAAUAGCCUGUGAAACCACGGAGCUGGAGUGCUGGAGAGGAAAGCGGAAUUCCCAGUGUAGCGGUGAAAUGCGUAGAUAUUGGGAGGAACACCUGUGGCGAAGGCGGCUUUCUGGACAGACACUGACGCUGAGGCGCGAAAGCCAGGGGAGCGAACG